rnacentral:rRNA from 1 species
GACCAGACUCCUACGGGAGGCAGCAGUGGGGAAUAUUGCACAAUGGGGGAAACCCUGAUGCAGCGACGCCGCGUGAGUGAAGAAGUAUUUCGGUAUGUAAAGCUCUAUCAGCAGGGAAGAAAAUGACGGUACCUGACUAAGAAGCCCCGGCUAACUACGUGCCAGCAGCCGCGGUAAUACGUAGGGGGCAAGCGUUAUCCGGAUUUACUGGGUGUAAAGGGAGCGUAGACGGCAUGGCAAGUCAGAUGUGAAAGCCCAGGGCUCAACCCCGGGACUGCAUUUGAAACUGUCAGGCUGGAGUGCAGGAGAGGUAAGUGGAAUUCCUAGUGUAGCGGUGAAAUGCGUAGAUAUUAGGAGGAACACCAGUGGCGAAGGCGCCUUACUGGACCGAAACUGACGUUGAGGCUCGAAAGCGUGGGGAGCAAACAGGAUUAGAUACCCGUGUAUA